rnacentral:rRNA from 1 species
AACGAACGCUGGCGGCGGGCUUAACACAUGCAAGUCGAACGGUAAGGCCCUUUCGGGGGGACACGAGUGGCGAAGAGGGGAGUAACACGGGGGUGAACUGCCCUGCACAUUGGUUUAAGCCGGGGAAACUAGGUCUAAUACCGGAUAGAACUACUCGAUGCAUGGCGUGUGGGGGGAAGCUGUUGCGGGGUGGGGUGGGCGCGCGGCCUAUCAGCUUGUUGGCGGGUUGAUGGCCUACCAAGGCGACGACGGGUAGACGGCCUGAGAGGGUGUCCGGCCACACUGGGACUGAGAUACGGCCCAGACUCCUACGGGAGGCAGCAGUGGGGAAUAUUGCCCAAUGGGCGCAAGCCUGAUGCAGCGACGCCGCGUGGGGGAUGACGGCCUUCGGGUUGUAAACCCCUUUCAGCACAGACGAAGCGUAAGUGACGGUAUGUGCAGAAGAAGCACCGGCCAACUACGUG